rnacentral:misc_RNA from 1 species
CCAAAGGCUGACCCCAUCAGGGUCAUGUUCUGCGACCGCAGAAGGUACUUAAAAUGAUAGCAUGGACCUCAUUGUAGUAGAUCACAUUGAGAAUUUUGUUUCCGGUCUACUAUGGCUAUUUUCUUCACCAAACCAAAUAUAAAUAAAACUGGUCAUUGUAUGUUGGUGGGCGUUUUGCCCCUUUAACAUGUGAAAAUGUA